rnacentral:rRNA from 1 species
AGGACGAACGCUGGCGGCGUGCUUAACACAUGCAAGUCGAGCGGAAAGGCCCUUCGGGGUACUCGAGCGGCGAACGGGUGAGUAACACGUGGGCAACCUGCCCCUAGCUCUGGGAUAACUCCGGGAAACCGGGCUAAUACCGGAUACGAUCUUCCAUGGCAUCUCGGAAGAUGGAAAGUUUUUCGGACUAGGGAUGGGCCCGCGGCCUAUCGAGCUUGUGGUGAGUAACGGCCCACAAGGCGACGACGGGUA